rnacentral:rRNA from 1 species
AUGAGGGCUCAAUACAUGCUCAGCGCGUCUGAGUGCAGAAGGCAGGUGUUGCCUUCAUCAGCUUCCAACUUCCAAAGUCUGCGGCUCCCUUGCCUGAACGCAAUGUCGACAAGCCAUCAGAGGAGUUCACUUUCAGCUCAUCGGUUGUCGUUACAUUGGGCUUCGGCCGUGGCGCGCAUCACUGCAGCAACAUGGGGAGGGAGCAACUGCUGCGUGCAUAUGCAGGAGCAGCAACAAGCAACCGACGUGAUGGUUGGUUGGCAAUGGAAGCCUCGAUGGAGCAGUCCAGAAAGGGGAGAACUCUACAGUGGAGAAACGUGA